rnacentral:rRNA from 1 species
ACGCUCGACACCUACGGAAGGCAGCAGUGGGGAAUAUUGCACAAUGGGGGAAACCCUGAUGCAGCGACGCCGCGUGAGCGAAGAAGUAUUUCGGUAUGUAAAGCUCUAUCAGCAGGGAAGAAACUGACGGUACCUGACUAAGAAGCACCGGCUAAAUACGUGCCAACAGCCGCGGUAAUCUGAGCGGGCUGGCAAGGC